UCUCCCUCCAUAACCGAUCUUCUCCCUUUCUCCCUUUCUCUUUCGUUUGCUCUCUUCCUACCACUGAUUGUCGCAGUUGUUCAAGCACCAGACCAGAAAGACAGGUGAUGGGGGCCUGCGGCUUGGGUCGUGUAACAGGGAGGCUCGACUCGUGGGUCUACGGCGUGGCUCGCUCGUGGGUGCGACGGUGCUUGCGGCGGUGGGUCUACGGCGUGGCUCGACUCAUGGGUCUACCACAACUUCCCUCCCCAUGUUUCCCAUCACCGACUGAAGAAGCUCGUGUCUUGAGCGGCCUCGUCCAACAACGUCGCCAUACUUGGAGGGUCGGUGGAGUUUCGAAUGGUUUGGGUCUGAAAGCCUAGUUUUAUUGGCUUCCUAAAAGUUUUACAAUCAAAGUUUUCCUGUCAUCAGGAAGCAAGAGCUCUACUAGGAAGACUUGAGUAUCAAAAGGGUAACAUAGAAGCUACACUUCAUGUAUUUGAAGGAAUAGACAUUGCUGUAGUGAAGGGUGAACAUAUCAAGCGCAGUGCUUUAGCAGAUUUAUUCUUGGACACAUAAGCAUGCUUAAUAAUUUUUUUUUCUAUUUUUUUAUUAUUCAAGUGUAUUUAUCUUAGUACAAUACAAUAUGUAACUUUAUUUUGACAUUUGAUGUUGCUAUUGCUGAUUGAUUUUGCUAUUGCUGUUUUGUUUCUUUAUUUAUUUUUUGGUGGUGUGUGCUCUGUAGCAUUGCAUUUAGUUAGCUUAAUAUUUAGCUCAUAUUUUCUUGAGUCGUUGCACCAGAAUUCCCUUAAUCAAGAGCCAUAUUCUGUCCCAAGGACAAUACUCAUCUUUUAUUUAAUUCCACUUGUAUCUUGAUCAGGUUAUGAAGUAAUUUUUUUUAUUAUCUAUAUCGUGUUGAGACUUACUCAUUACUCAAAGUCUAUUGUGAAAAUCGAUAUUGUGAAGCUCCAAGAAUAUGAAGAGACUUUGAUUGCAUCUUUAAAUCUUUAUCAUUAUUUUCAUACGACAUUUAUCAUCUAUUUUCCUACAAUCAAUGGCUUAUUAUUAAGAGAAGUCUA